UCAGCAAAAUCAUGUAAGAGAUCGCUCCAGAACUUUCUUUCAUAUGAUCACAAGUCUCAAGGUAAAAGCUAACACAAGCUACAACAGAUAUAUAAACAUAAAAUGUAAUAAAACAUGUGCGCAAUCAUGUGAAUGAACAAUGAAGUCGAAAUGUAAGGAGAAGAAAACCACAACAGUUUCAUAACUGAAAAUAUAUAUCACAGCAGUUCCAUAAUUGAAAAUGAUACCCACAACAUUCCAUGGCAUAAAUGUAGAAAUGCAAUUUAGUAAACAAAAAUCCAUUAAAUCUAGAGGUGAAAACAAAACCCAACAACAAAGUUAUAAAUACUGAUAAAUCAUAAAUAUUUAGAUGUUAUUGUGCACAAAGAUAUGAGUCUAAUGGGUUUGAGUGAAUAAGUAACCCUUGAUAGAACUGAAUGGAGAAAAAAAAAUCAUAUGACUGACCCCAAUUGAUUGGGACAUAAGGCUCGGUUUGGUUUCAAAAAUAUUUACCAAGCUCUGGACAUUGUCCAUCACCAUCUAUAAACCUUUACAAUCUACGCUGGUGGUUUUCAAUCUUCUUUUAUGGAAGACAUUUUGAAUGUAUUUUCUUUUUUCUUGAGCAAUCAAUCGAGCGUACCGAUCCCUCCUAUACAUUUGUUAACGGGUCAUGGUUUUAUCUGUACAUA